rnacentral:rRNA from 1 species
CAGGCUUAACACAUGCAAGUCGAGGGGCAGCAUUUUAGUUUGCUUGCAAACUGAAGAUGGCGACCGGCGCACGGGUGAGUAACACGUAUCCAACCUGCCGAUAACUCCGGAAUAGCCUUUCGAAAGAAAGAUUAAUACCGGAUAGCAUACGAAUAUCGCAUGAUAUUUUUAUUAAAGAAUUUCGGUUAUCGAUGGGGAUGCGUUCCAUUAGUUUGUUGGCGGGGUAACGGCCCACCAAGACAACGAUGGAUAGGGGUUCUGAGAGGAAGGUCCCCCACAUUGGAACUGAGACACGGUCCAAACUCCUACGGGAGGCAGCAGUGAGGAAUAUUGGUCAAUGGGCGAGAGCCUGAACCAGCCAAGUAGCGUGAAGGAUGAAGGCUCUAUGGGUCGUAAACUUCUUUUAUAUGGGAAUAAAGUUUUCCACGUGUGGAAUUUUGUAUGUACCAUAUGAAUAAGGAUCGGCUAACUCCGUGCCAGCAGCCGCGGUAAUACGGAGGAUCCGAGCGUUAUCCGGAUUUAUUGGGUUUAAAGGGAGCGUAGGUGGAUUGUUAAGUCAGUUGUGAAAGUUUGCGGCUCAACCGUAAAAUUGCAGUUGAAACUGGCAGUCUUGAGUACAGUAGAGGUGGGCGGAAUUCGUGGUGUAGCGGUGAAAUGCUUAGAUAUCACGAAGAACUCCGAUUGCGAAGGCAGCUCACUAGACUGUCACUGACACUGAUGCUCGAAAGUGUGGGUAUCAAACAGGAUUAGAUACCCUGGUAGUCCACACAGUAAACGAUGAAUACUCGCUGUUUGCGAUAUACAGUAAGCGGCCAAGCGAAAGCAUUAAGUAUUCCACCUGGGGAGUACGCCGGCAACGGUGAAACUCAAAGGAAUUGACGGGGGCCCGCACAAGCGGAGGAACAUGUGGUUUAAUUCGAUGAUACGCGAGGAACCUUACCCGGGCUUAAAUUGCAACAGAAUAUAUUGGAAACAGUAUAGCCGUAAGGCUGUUGUGAAGGUGCUGCAUGGUUGUCGUCAGCUCGUGCCGUGAGGUGUCGGCUUAAGUGCCAUAACGAGCGCAACCCUUAUCUUUAGUUACUAACAGGUCAUGCUGAGGACUCUAGAGAGACUGCCGUCGUAAGAUGUGAGGAAGGUGGGGAUGACGUCAAAUCAGCACGGCCCUUACGUCCGGGGCUACACACGUGUUACAAUGGGGGGUACAGAAGGCAGCUACCUGGCGACAGGAUGCUAAUCCCAAAAACCUCUCUCAGUUCGGAUCGAAGUCUGCAACCCGACUUCGUGAAGCUGGAUUCGCUAGUAAUCGCGCAUCAGCCAUGGCGCGGUGAAUACGUUCCCGGGCCUUGUACACACCGCCCGUCAAGCCAUGAAAGCCGGGGGUACCUGAAGUACGUAACCGCAAGGAGCGUCCUAGGGUAAAACUGGUAAUUGGGGCUAAG